GAUGAACGCUGGCGGCGUGCUUAACACAUGCAAGUCGAACGAUGAAGCCCAGCUUGCUGGGUGGAUUAGUGGCGAACGGGUGAGUAACACGUGAGUAACCUGCCCUUAACUCUGGGAUAAGCCUGGGAAACUGGGUCUAAUACCGGAUAGGAGCGUCCACCGCAUGGUGGGUGUUGGAAAGAUUUAUCGGUUUUGGAUGGACUCGCGGCCUAUCAGCUUGUUGGUGAGGUAAUGGCUCACCAAGGCGACGACGGGUAGCCGGCCUGAGAGGGUGACCGGCCACACUGGGACUGAGAAACGGCCCAGACUCCUACGGGAGGCAGCAGUGGGGAAUAUUGCACAAUGGGCGAAAGCCUGAUGCAGCGACGCCGCGUGAGGGAUGACGGCCUUCGGGUUGUAAACCUCUUUCAGUAGGGAAGAAGCGAAAGUGACGGUACCUGCAGAAGAAGCACCGGCUAACUACGUG
rnacentral:rRNA from 1 species